AACGCACCUUGCGCUCCUUGGUAUUCCGAGGAGCAUGCCUGUUUGAGUGUCAUGAAAUCUUCAACCUAUAAGCUUUUGUGGUUUGUAGGCUUGGACUUGGAGGCUUGUCGGCCUUGAUCGGUCGGCUCCUCUUAAAUGCAUUAGCUUGAUUCCUUGCGGAUCGGCUCUCGGUGUGAUAAUAUCUACGCCGCGACCGUGAAGUGUUUGGCGAGCUUCUAACCGUCUCACUUGAGAGACAACUUUAUGACCUCUGACCUCAAAUCAGGUAGGACUACCCGCUGAACUUAA
rnacentral:misc_RNA from 1 species